GGGAGACUGGAGUCGAAGGCCGUGAGUCAGCCAUAAUGGCAGGUGAAGAAAUUAAUGAAGACUAUCCAGUAGAAAUUCACGAGUAUUUGUCAGCGUUUGAGAAUUCCAUUGGUGCUGUGGAUGAGAUGCUGAAGACCAUGAUGUCUGUUUCUAGAAAUGAGUUGUUGCAGAAGGUAUUUUAAAAAUUUGGAUCCACUUGAACAAGCAAAAGUGGAUUUGGUUUCUGCAUACACAUUAAAUUCAAUGUUUUGGGUUUAUUUGGCAACCCAAGGAGUUAAUCCUAAGGAACAUCCAGUAAAACAGGAAUUGGAAAGAAUCAGAGUAUAUAUGAACAGAGUCAAGGAAAUAACAGACAAGAAAAAGGCUGGCAAGCUGGACAGAGGUGCAGCUUCAAGAUUUGUAAAAAAUGCCCUCUGGGAACCAAAAUCGAAAAAUGCAUCAAAAGUUGCCAAUAAAGGAAAAAGUAAAAGUUAACUUUUUGGUUUUGAUGUACACAUAUUCAAAAAGUACAUCUUCCCCCCCCCCCCCCCCCCCGCAAAAUAAUUCUGUGGCAGGGCAAGGUUUAAAUGUGUUUCUUAUUAAUAUGUAAAUUCACAGUAAAUAUGUAAAGCUAAAUACUUUCCUCUCCAAAGAUCAUUAUCUUUAUUGA
rnacentral:lncRNA from 10 species